rnacentral:snRNA from 1 species
GGAUGUGAGGGCGAUCUGGCUGCGACAUCUGUCACCCCAUUGAUCGCCAGGGUUGAUUCGGCUGAUCUGGCUGGCUAGGCGGGUGUCCCCUUCCUCCCUCACCGCUCCAUGUGCGUCCCUCCCGAAGCUGCGCGCCUUCCCCAAUAGAGACGGACCGGUCUUCGGUGUCGAGGGUAUACGAGUAGCUGCGCUCCCCUGCUAGAACCUCCAAACAAGCUCUCAAGAAAAGCUAAAUGGUAUGGCUUUUCUCUCUGCUUGCUAUCUAUCUGUCUAUCUAUCUAUCUAUCAUCUAUCUAUGAU